AAGGUGAGGGAGUGGUGAUGGGUAAAGGUUUGGAUAGAUUAGUAUAAAUGGGGAGGAGGUGAUAGGAAGAGGUUAUGUAAUGUGGUAGAGAGGGUAGGACAGUCAGGUGAAGGUGAGGGAGUGGUGAUGGGUAAAGGUUAGGAUAGAUUAGUAUAAAUGGGGAGGAGGUGAUAGGAAGAGGUUAUGUAAUGUGGUAGAGAGGGUAGGACAGUCAGGUGAAGGUGAGGGAGUGGUGAUGGGUAAAGGUUAGGAUAGAUUAGUAUAAAUGGGGAGGAGGUGAUAGGAAGAGGUUAUGUAACGUGGUAGAGAGGGUAGGACAGUCAGGUGAAGGUGAGGGAGUGGUGAUGGGUAAAGGUUAGGAUAGAUUAGUAUAAAUGGGGAGGAGGUGAUAGGAAGAG